GACGAACGCUGGCGGCGUGCUUAACACAUGCAAGUCGAACGAAGUGGCGAACGGGUGAGUAACGCGUAAUCAACUUGCCCUUCAGAGGGGGAUAACAGUUGGAAACGACUGCUAAUACCGCAUACUGACGGGCGGGCUGGCGUGUGAUUCGCUGGUUGGAGGGGUAACGGCCCACCAAGGCGAUGAUCAGUAGCCGGUCUGAGAGGAUGAACGGCCAAAGUGGGACUGAGACACGGCCCAGACUCCUACGGGAGGCAGCAGGGGGGAAUCUUCCGCAAUGGACGAAAGUCUGACGGAGCAACGCCGCGGGAGUGAUGACGGCCUUCGGGUUGUAAAGCUCUGUUAAUCGGGACGCGGUACCGGAAUAGAAAGCCACGGCUAACUACGUGCCAGCAGCCGCGGUAAUUC
rnacentral:rRNA from 1 species